UAUGGCAGCCUGGGCGCACGCUGAUCAGGUACCUCUCACAGACAAUCAGAUGCCAGUAGGUGUAGCGGCGGUCCCCGAGGCCGACCCUAAUUGGAAUUAUCAAACUGGUCAAGAUGGCCGCUGCCACAGAGACCAAAUGCUACAGUGCCUCCUAGCAGGCAUGCAAAGCGCAGCCCAAAAGGUAGUUAAUUAUGAUAAGUUAAGGGAAAUAACUCAGGGUCCUACUGAAAACCCAGCCGCCUUCCUUGACCGAUUAACUAAUGCUAUGAUCCUUCAUACCCGGCUGGACCCAGCCUCUUUACUGGGGGCUACAGUUCUAGCCAUCCAUUUCAUCUCUCAGUCAGCGGCUGACAUUAGAAAGAAACUUAAAAAGGCUGAGGAGGGCCCCCAAACUCCCAUACGAGACCUGGUAAACAUGGCAUUUAAAGUUUUUAAUGGCCAAGAGGAAAAGGCUGAGGCCACCCGCCAGGCCCAUCUACAGCAAGAGGUAAGCCUCCAAACCCAAGCUCUUGUAGCAGCCCUAAGGC